rnacentral:rRNA from 1 species
UACGUAGGUGGCAAGCGUUGUCCGGAUUUACUGGGCGUAAAGAGCGCGCAGGCGGUCGUUCAAGUCGCGUGUGAAAGCCCCCGGCUCAACUGGGGAGGGUCACGCGAUACUGAUCGACUCGAAGGCAGGAGAGGGAAGUGGAAUUCCCGGUGUAGAGGUGAAAUUCGUAGAUAUUGGGAAGAACACCGAUGGCGAAGGCAGCUCUCUGGACCGUUACUGACGCUGAGGCGCGAAAGCGUGGGGAGCAAACAGG